UAAUUAGCUUUUAUUAUCCUCUCUUUGUUUUUAUUUGUUUUUUAAAUGUAUUCACUCUAAUAAAGCCACAUACCCUCUCAUAAGCCAAUUUUUUACAUUUAUGAAAAGAGAGAGAAUAUGGCUAUCUCAGGGUCUCAGGAAGUUUUAGUUUAGUUAAAUUUCUUAGAAACCCUGCUGCUGACAGGCAUGAGUCAGUCGUGUUUCAAAGUCAGUGUGAGCUACUCAUGACUACUAAUCUCCCCAACAUGAGUCCACACUCAGUGAACUCCUGUAGGCCUUGGGGGUGUAGACCUUGAAGACAGGAAAACUGAUCAGGAGAUCCCUGCCAUGAAGCAGCAUAGAGAUCCCUCAAGGACAACAGGACAUCUGGUUUCCUUCUUUAAGGAAGAAAAGAAAGUGUUUUCCUGGAUACCAGAUAUGCUGAGUUGGGAAACGAGCUAAGGACAGAGGCUGGAAUGCAGUUGCUG